UACGUAGGGGGCAAGCGUUGUCCGGAUUUAUUGGGCGUAAAGCGCACGCAGGCGGAUUGAUAAGUCAGGGGUGAAAUCCCGGGGCUCAACCUCGGAAUUGCCUUUGAUACUGUCUAUCUUCGAGUUCGGGAGAGGUUGGCGGAAUUCCUAGUGUAGAGGUGAAAUUCGUAGAUAUUAGGAAGAACACCAGUGGCGAAGGCGGCCAACUGGCCCGAUACUGACGCUCAUGUGCGAAAGCGUGGGGAGCAAACAGG
rnacentral:rRNA from 1 species